rnacentral:rRNA from 1 species
UACGUAGGGUGCAAGCGUUAAUCGGAAUUACUGGGCGUAAAGCGUGCGCAGGCGGUGAUGUAAGACAGUUGUGAAAUCCCCGGGCUCAACCUGGGAACUGCAUCUGUGACUGCAUCGCUGGAGUGCGGCAGAGGGGGAUGGAAUUCCGCGUGUAGCAGUGAAAUGCGUAGAUAUGCGGAGGAACACCGAUGGCGAAGGCCAUCCCCUGGGCCUGCACUGACGCUCAUGCACGAAAGCGUGGGGAGCAAACAGG